UACAGAGGUCUCAAGCGUUGUUCGGAUUCAUUGGGCGUAAAGAGCGUGUAGGCGGCCAGGUAGGUCCGUUGUGAAAACUAGAGGCUUAACCUCUAGACGUCGAUGGAAACCAUCUGGCUAGAGUCCGGAAGAGGAGAGUGGAAUUCCUGGUGUAGCGGUGAAAUGCGCAGAUAUCAGGAAGAACACCCGUGGCGAAGGCGGCUCUCUGGGACGGUACUGACGCUGAGACGCGAAAAGCGUGGGGAGCGAACAGG
rnacentral:rRNA from 1 species